UCCUCAACGAUGGAUAUCUAGGUUUCGAGAACGAUGAAGAACGCAGCGAAGUGCGAUAAGCAAUGCGAAUUGCAGAACCGUGAGUCAUCAGAUUUUUGAACGCAACUGGCACCUUAGUUCUGCUAAGGUAUGCUUGUAUCAGUGUGUCUUU
rnacentral:rRNA from 1 species